rnacentral:rRNA from 1 species
UACAGAGGGUGCGAGCGUUGUCCGGAAUCACUGGGCGUAAAGGGCGCGUAGGCGGCCUGAUAAGUAGGGGGUGAAAUCCUGUGGCUCAACUGCAGGGCUGCCUCCUAGACUGUCGGGCUUGAGCACGGUAGAGGCAGAUGGAAUUCCCGGUGUAGCGGUGGAAUGCGUAGAGAUCGGGAAGAACAUCGGUGGCGAAGGCGGUCUGCUGGGCCGUUGCUGACACUAAUGGACGAAAGCUAGGGGAGCGAAUGGG